rnacentral:rRNA from 1 species
GUGGGGAAUAUUGGACAAUGGGGGGAACCCUGAUCCAGCCAUGCCGCGUGUGUGAAGAAGGCCUUUUGGUUGUAAAGCACUUUAAGCGAGGAGGAGGCUACCGAGAUUAAUACUCUUGGAUAGUGGACGUUACUCGCAGAAUAAGCACCGGCUAACUCUGUGCCAGCAGCCGCGGUAAUACAGAGGUUGCAAGCGUUAAUCGGAUUUACUGGGCGUAAAGCGCGCGUAGGUGGCCAAUUAAGUCAAAUGUGAAAUCCCCGAGCUUAACUUGGGAAUUGCAUUCGAUACUGGUUGGCUAGAGUAUGGGAGAGGAUGGUAGAAUUCCAGGUGUAGCGGUGAAAUGCGUAGAGAUCUGGAGGAAUACCGAUGGCGAAGGCAGCCAUCUGGCCUAAUACUGACACUGAGGUGCGAAAGCAUGGGGAGCAAACAGGAUUAGAAACCCGUGUAGUCC